rnacentral:rRNA from 1 species
AUGAACGCUGGCGGCGUGCUUAACACAUGCAAGUCGAGCGAGAAGUUUUGAAACGAUUCUUCGGAUGAAAUUUAAAAUGGAAAGCGGCGGACGGGUGAGUAACGCGUAGGCAACCUGCCCCAUACAAAGGGAUAGCAUUUGGAAACGAAUAUUAAUACCUUAUGAAACUUAACUAGUGCAUGCUAGGUAUGUCAAAGAUUUAUCGGUAUGGGAUGGGCCUGCGUCUGAUUAGCUAGUUGGUGAGGUAACGGCUCACCAAGGCGACGAUCAGUAGCCGACCUGAGAGGGUGAACGGCCACAUUGGAACUGAGACACGGUCCAAACUCCUACGGGAGGCAGCAGUGGGGAAUAUUGCACAAUGGGGGAAACCCUGAUGCAGCAACGCCGCGUGAACGAUGAAGGCCUUUGGGUCGUAAAGUUCUGUUCUAGGUGAUGAAAACUGACAGUAACCGAGGAGAAAGCCCCGGCUAACUCCGUG